rnacentral:misc_RNA from 1 species
GGGCGGUGCUUGAAUGUUUUAGGGAGUGAAACAUUCUGCCUAUUAGCCCAAUUUUUCUUUAACAGCAGCCUUCAUCAGAUCAUAUGGUUCGCUUAACUGUACGUUGGAUGGAGAUAAAUGGGGACUCGUGCAUUCUUUUAAGCUUUUUGAAUUAAUUUUCUUUUCCCUAGGAGUAUGGUUUCUUUGAUGUGACCACUAGCAUUCGGACUACUGAAUUAUGAUCUUUACUUUUGAGCUGUCUGGAGGGAAUAGAUUGAUAAUUCACUUUCUUUGUAGGUUUUCCUUUAGUGAUAGGAAGUUCCUCUUCACUUGAUUGAUUACUCUUGUUGUGAAAGCACCUUGAACUUUUUUUGGAUGGGCUGUCAAUUUGUAAUGGUUUUCUGGUUCCAGAAAACAUAGAUGACAGAUAUGGCAAGUAUUAGGUUGGAGUUGAGAGGGAUUAUGAAUUAAUGCGCAAGGGGCUGUGAAUAGGUUUCUUGUUAUUCUCAUUAACUUUUUGUCUAACUAUUUAUGCCCAUCUAGUUGGAAAUUUGGCCAAUAAUUUGAUGUUAUUUAGUACAUAUGGAAGAGAUAUUCUUGAUUUUGGGUCAUAGUACUUGCAUCUAAUGUCUUUAAUGAAUUUAUUUCAGUUGUUUGUGUUUUGUCAUUAGCUUCAUAUUUUCAUAAAUGCCCCACUUUUUUCAUUCUGUCAUUGGAUGAUCUCAGUGUGAUUAUAACAGAUGCUUGAAGUCAUCCUUUACAAAAAGAGUUAAGAAAAUAUCCUAAAUUCUAUUUAAAGUUUUUCUAUCUUUUCAAUAAUUAUACAAAAAGUUAAAGGUGUCCUGUAUUUUGUUUUCUUAACAACUCUUGUGUUCUGUUUGUUUUCAUAUAUGCAAGUACCUUCUGACUUCCUUCAGAAAACAUAACUGAAAGAUGCGCUGUUUCACCAACACUUACUAGAGGACAUAUCUGAUACUUGUCAUGAGAUUCCUGUACAAAGCAUUGGGCAUCAUCAACUUCCUCCAGUAACUCUUGUUUCAUGACAUUUUAUGUACCAUCAAAGAAGCACGUGAAGAAUGAUUGCAAUGAGACAUAUAAUUAACUGAGGAAUGCUUCAUCCUUUUGAAAGCAUGUAGUAAUGUAUCCUUUAUUGAGUUUCUGAAAUGUUGUUGAUUAUGGUGUUCAAAAUGAGAAUUGCUGUAGGAAUUUGUUACGAAGAUCAAAAUUCAGAUCUCACCUAGAUCAGUUUCUGGAAUUGAUGGGGCUGUGGGGUUAUCUUAAGAACUGUAUCAUAGAUAAAUUGCAAAACUCAAGACAUUUGGAGAAUCCUUUUUAGAUAUGAGUGAGGAGGGACGAAAGAGUUUUACAAACUGAGGAGAUGCAUGCCCUUUUAGAGUCUGAUUUUUAGUGACCUUGGUAAAUUCCGUUAAAUUCCAAUGCACAACGUGAUCAUAUUGCUUCUUUGUGUUUAAUCUCUUGACUUGAAUUUGCCCUAUAACUUCAUAUUCCUAAAGCUUUUCUUUAUAUUUAAACCAUUGCUUUGAUUAGCUUAAAAUUAAAUAAUUGAGAAUAUCAAUUGAAAAUUUUUAUUUAUUGUCAAAGUUAAUGCUUGAAACCUAAGUGUUCCCUUUUCUGGUUGGUGAUCCUUUGAAUGCAAUUCAAGAGGUUUUUUCUAGUAAAUCUGGCCAAUGUUAAGCUAUUAGCUGAAGGAAACGAAAAUGAUAAAAUUGCUUAGCAGGUUUUAGAUUGUUGCGUUCUAAUGUUAAACCACAAGAAACACUGACGUCAAACUGAUAGUAAGAUUUUCAGAUUUUGCAAAAGCUACUACAUCUUAUAACUUGAAGAACUGCGGGAACUGAGGCAAUCCUAAUACUGUUUAUAGUUGGUCAGGAGGUCACUGAUUAGAAUUAUAAUAUAUGAGAUUAGAGGAUUGGUGAAUUCCACGUUGUUGCUUUUGGUGUGCACAUUUAUAUAUGUUUAACAUAUGGUUUGCCAUAUCUUGCAAAGAUUUGCUAUACUUAGUCUUUUGCGUAUCCAUACUUGUUAACGUGUUGACAAUAAUUUGUUUUUGUGCAUCUAUGAUAUUACAUAUAUAUCCUCUAGGCAUUUGGGCAAUGCAAUUAGCUAAUCCUUCUUUGGGUAAACAUGUAGCAUUUACGUGGUAUUUUCUUUGUGUCUAUUUGAUUCACUCCAUUGUGUAGUAGCAGCAUUUUUGUUGAGUGUGUGAAAUUUACUUGCACAAUUAUUUAUGAUAGUUUGAUUAUUGAACGUGCUUGGAGAGUGUUUAUGGAAUUGUCCUGACUAUUAAAUUGUUUUUGAAGACACAAGCAUGGAUCUUUUUUUGGGUGAUAGAUUUGUUCUUUGGACCAGCUAGUGCAAUGUUACCAAAUGCAGUUGAGGGUGUAAUAGGGAAACAUGAACCGAGUAUACUUCUUUGUGCGGUAGAUGCAAGCUUAUGCUAUCUUACUACAUUGGAUGUUCUUAAUUUACAGGUCCUAUUUUUUAGAAGAAUGGUUGUGCUCUGUGCUAUUGAUCAUUUGUCUUGUAUCAUUACAAUGGAAUUUGCAUAUUGUAUUAUCCAUUUACAUUUGUU